CCUACGGGGGACAGCAGUAGGGAAUAUUGCUCAAUGGGGGAAACCCUGAAGCAGCAACGCCGCGUGGAGGAUGAAGGUUUUCGGAUUGUAAACUCCUUUUGUUAGAGAAGAUAAUGACGGUAUCUAACGAAUAAGCACCGGCUAACUCCGUGCCAGCAGCCGCGGUAAUACGGAGGGUGCAAGCGUUACUCGGAAUCACUGGGCGGAAAGAGCGCGUAGGCGGGAUAGCAAGUCAGAUGUGAAAUCCUAUGGCUUAACCAUAGAACUGCAUUUGAAACUGUUAUUCUAGAGUAUGGGAGAGGUAGGUGGAAUUCUUGGUGUAGGGGUAAAAUCCGUAGAGAUCAAGAGGAAUACUCAUUGCGAAGGCGACCUGCUAGAACAUAACUGACGCUGAUGCGCGAAAGCGUGGGGAGCAAACAGGAUUAGAUACCCCGGUAGUC
rnacentral:rRNA from 1 species